UACGAAGGGGGCUAGCGUUGCUCGGAAUUAUUGGGCGUAAAGAGCUCGUAGGCGGUUUGUCGCGUCGAAUGUGAAAACCCGGGGCUCAACCCCGGGCCUGCAUUCGAUACGGGCAGACUAGAGUUCGGUAGGGGAGUCGUGGAAUUCCUGGGUGUAGCGGUGAAAUGCGUAGAGAUCCGGAGGAACACCGACGGCGUAGGCAGCGCCCGUGGACGACGACCCUGACGCUGAGGCACGAAAGCGGGGGAGCGAACAGGAUUGG
rnacentral:rRNA from 1 species